rnacentral:lncRNA from 1 species
UAAAAACCCUGUUAAAACUAUAAUCCAGUAUUUGUCUCUCAAAAUCCUGUGACAUUGGAACGGAAAUAGCUCCUAUCAAUCCUGUAGUAAAGGAAAAUUGCCAGUUUCUACUUGUAAGCUGGUGAAAUCAUAGAAAGAGGUAUUAAUGUAAUUGCUGUAUGCAGUUUUCACAUCAAAAAUAAUUCCAGACACUUACACUGUGCCUGACAGUGUUUAGUUUGUUAGACAAAGUUUCAGUUAUGAAACUGCCUGCCUUGCAUUGCAGGUGUAAAUAGCUUUAUGCACAACUGCUCUGAAAAGCUGUAUACAGACAGUUGUCUCUGUUGGGGGAAAAUCUAAAUGUUCACUUUUGCUUCUGCCCAGGCUUCGGGAACAGAUUUACUUAGCCAUGUUGGAAACGAUGACUACCUCCAAAGUUGACUUUAUAACGUCACCCAUGAGAUUUACAAACUUUUUAAAUGGUUUGUGGUUCCACAGAGUUCUUUAAAACCCUAUUGAGACAUUGGUAGAUGAACUGGAAACAGAGUUAAAUCUAGAGAUUUAACAACAACAACAAAGUCUCUUUUCAGCUUUUUUUCACUUAUCUGUGCUAAAUGAGUAAAACAGAUUGUGGUUGAAUGACCUAGUAGUUAUAAAUGUCUGUAGUAAUUCCAUCAUAAGAGCUGUGUUGAGAAUUGCAGAAAAAGUAGGUAUAUAAUCUCUAUUUCACACUUUAAUGAUUGGACUUAAACUUUAAUUUUCAUGCAGUGAUUCUUCAGUGGACAUGUAAUCAUCGAUAACAGACUUACUGAAGAGGAAACAGCAGAGGACUACAUGGUUUUGAAAGUUUUCUCUAAGUUGUCAGAACUUGAAACUGUCACCUGCCAGAAACAGCAGAAUCUUUCAUGUCCGAAAACUUUUCAGACCUACAACUUUGCUUUUGCCUCUCAGAAGGAAGGCUUUGAGAAGUCCUGAAAAGGAACUCUGGAGAUGACAGAACAAGGGACUAGCAGUGAUUUCCUUAAUCCCAACAUAUGACAUAAUGAUGUAAUUAUUAUUGUAUAAUUAUUAUUGUGGUUUUUUGUUAUUGUUGUUUUUGUUUUUGUUUCU